UUGAUUUAAGCUGAAAUAAUUAAAAGCAAUCUUUCUUCUUCAAAGAAUUCUUCUUCUUCUUCUUCAAAUCAACCUAACUUUCUCUGGAAGCUUUUGGUGGUUGAAGAAGGCAUCGGCUCAAUUUUCUUUGUGGAAGUUCGGUGACUAAAGAAGCAACCUCUCCACCGGUAGCUCAUCGAUGAGUUUAGAGGUGGCGAGUAAGCUUAGGAUCGGGGUGUGCUUGGGUUUAUUUUCUGUAGUUGUCUUUUUUUUAAUAAUUGAACGUUGAGGUUGUAUACCUCGUAGUUUGUUGUCUAUUUGAGUGAGUCUUGUAAUCUAUUGUAUUCUGGAUUUAAACUAUUAAGUGUGGCAUAUUGUGUUUCCGUAGGGUUGUUAAAGCA